AGCAGCCGCGGUAAUUCCAGCUCCAAUAGCGUAUAUUAAAGUUGUUGCAGUUAAAAAGCUCGUAGUUGAAUUUCGAGACCGGUUUACUGGUCGUGCUUUUGUACGUACUGGUAUUAUUGGUUUCUCCUUUCUGACGAAUCAUAAUGCCAUUAAUUUGGUGUUUUGGGGAAUCAGGACUGUUACUUUGAAAAAAUUAGAGUGUUUAAAGCAGGCUCACGCUUGAAUACAUUAGCAUGGAAUAACGAAAUAGGACGUUUGAUUUUAUUUUGUUGGUUUCUAGGAUCGACGUAAUGAUUAAUAGGGAUAGUUGGGGGCAUUAGUAUUCAAUUGUCAGAGGUGAAAUUCUUGGAUUUAUUGAAGGCUAACUACUGCGAAAGCAUUUGCCAAGGAUGUUUUCAUUAAUCAAGAACGAAAGUUAGGGGAUCGAAGACGAUCAGAUACCGUCGUAGUCUUAACCAUAAACUAUGCCGACUAGGGAUCGGAUGAUGUUAAUUUUUAAUGUACUCAUUCGGCGCCUUAC
rnacentral:sRNA from 1 species